rnacentral:rRNA from 1 species
UACGGAGGGUGCAAACGUUGCUCGGAAUCAUUGGGCGUAAAGCGCACGUAGGCGGCCUGAUAAGUCGGGUGUGAAAGCCCUGGGCUCAACCCAGGAAGUGCACUCGAAACUGUCAGGCUUGAAUAUGGAAGAGGGUCGCGGAAUUCCCGGUGUAGAGGUGAAAUUCGUAGAUAUCGGGAGGAACACCAGUGGCGAAGGCGGCGACCUGGGCCAAUAUUGACGCUGAGGUGCGAAAGCGUGGGGAGCAAACAGGAUU